rnacentral:rRNA from 1 species
GGGCAAAUACGUAGCAGCAGCGGGUGAAUGAGGUAGGGGGCAAGGUUUAAACGGAAUGCUUGGGAGUGAAGCGGCAGCAGGGGGUUUUUUAAGACAGGUGUGCAAUCCCCGGGCGUAACCUGGGAACGGCAUUUGUGACUGCAAGGCUGGAGUGCGGCAGAGGGGGAUGGAAUUCCGCGUGUAGCAGUGAAAUGCGUAGAUAUGCGGAGGAACACCGAUGGCGAAGGCAAUCCCCUGGGCCUGCACUGACGCUCAUGCACGAAAGCGUGGGGAGCAAACAGGAUUAGAUACCCUGUAGUC